rnacentral:rRNA from 1 species
CCUACGGGAGGCAGCAGUGAGGGAUAUUGGACAAUGGGGGGAACCCUGAUCCAGCGACGCCGCGGGAGUGAAGAAGUAUCUCGGUAUGUACCGCUCUAUCAGCCGGGAAGAAGACAUGACGGUACAUGAGUAAGUAGCCCCGGCUAACUACGUGCCAGCAGCCGCGGUGAUGCGUAGGGGGCAAGCGUUAUCCGGAAUUACUGGGUGUAAAGGGAGCGUAGACGGUGAUGUAAGUCUGUAGUGAAAGGCGGGGGACCAACCACCGGACUGCUCUGGAAACUAUGAGACUGGAGUGCAGGAGAGGUGAGCGGAAUUCCUAGUGUAGCGGGGAAAUGCGUAGAUAUUAGGAGGAACACCAGUGGCGAAGGCGGCUCACUGGACUGUAACUGACGUUGAGGCUCGAAAGCGUGGGGAGCAAACAGGAUUAGAGACCCCGGUAGUC